UUGUUGGUGUGCUUCUAUGGGAUGACUUAUAACUGAAAAAUAUUGCAAAAGGAUGGAUGCUGGAUGUCCUGAUAAAUUGUUUGUAGGAGGCCUCAACCAAGAAACCAAUGAAAAGAAUCUGAAAGCAGCUUUUGGAUCAUUUGGACCCAUAAUAGAUGUUGUUUUGAUAAAGAAUUUGGAAACCAAGCAGUCCAGAGGCUUUGCUUUUGUUACCUUUGAAAGAUCUGCCGAUGCUAAAACUGCUCUCAAAGACAUGAAU